rnacentral:rRNA from 1 species
GACGAACGCUGGCGGCGUGCCUAAUACAUGCAAGUUGAGCGCUGAAGGUUGGUACUUGUACCAACUGGAUGAGCAGCGAACGGGUGAGUAACGCGUGGGGAAUCUGCCUUUGAGCGGGGGACAACAUUUGGAAACGAAUGCUAGUACCGCAUAAAAACUUUAAACACAAGUUUUAAGUUUGAAAGAUGCAAUUGCAUCACUCAAAGAUGAUCCCGCGUUGUAUUAGCUAGUUGGUGAAGUAAAGGCUCACCAAGGCGAUGGUACAUAGCCGACCUGGAAGGGGGGACGGCCACAUUGGGACUGGGACACGGCCCAAACUUCUACGGGAGGCAGCAGUAGGGAAUCUUCGGCAAUGGACGAAAAGCUGACCGAGCAACGCCGCGGGAGUGAAGAAGGGUGUCGGAUCGGAAAACUCUGUUGGUAGAGAAGAACGUUGGGGAGAGUGGAAAGCUCAUCAAGUGACGGUAACUACCCAGAAAGGGACGGCUAACUACGUG